GGGCGUAAGGGCUCGCAGGCGGUUUCUUAAGUCUGAUGUGAAAGCCCCCGGCUCAACCGGGGAGGGUCAUUGGAAACUGGGAAACUUGAGUGCAGAAGAGGAGAGUGGAAUUCCACGUGUAGCGGUGAAAUGCGUAGAGAUGUGGAGGAACACCAGUGGCGAAGGCGACUCUCUGGUCUGUAACUGACGCUGAGGAGCGAAAGCGUGGGGAGCGAACAGGAUUAGAUACCCUGGUAGUCCACGCCGUAAACGAUGAGUGCUAAGUGUUAGGGGGUUUCCGCCCCUUAGUGCUGCAGCUAACGCAUUAAGCACUCCGCCUGGGGAGUACGGUCGCAAGACUGAAACUCAAAGGAAUUGACGGGGGCCCGCACAAGCGGUGGAGCAUGUGGUUUAAUUCGAAGCAACGCGAAGAACCUUACCAGGUCUUGACAUCCUCUGACAACCCUAGAGAUAGGGCUUUCCCUUCGGGGACAGAGUGACAGGUGGUGCAUGGUUGUCGUCAGCUCGUGUCGUGAGAUGUUGGGUUAAGUCCCGCAACGAGCGCAACCCUUGAUCUUAGUUGCCAGCAUUCAGUUGGGCACUC
rnacentral:rRNA from 1 species